rnacentral:tRNA from 1 species
AGGGACUUAGGAUAGUAUUAAGACCGAAGGCCUUCAAAGCCCUAAGCGAGAGUGAAAACCUCUCAGCCCCUA